CGCAGUUAUCUAUGUAACUGUAUAGUAGAAUUAGUUCUCUAAUUGAUAGUGCGGCGUUGAUCACUAUAUUGAUGACGUCAUUACAUUAUUAAUAUUUUCUGUGUAGACUAGAGGACUGAGCUUUUGUUGCUUGUCACAACUUCUAGUGACGUAAAUUUAGUGUGUGUGUGAUUUGCGUCAUUUAUCGUCUAGUACAGUCUCUCCAUUGUUUUGUACGUUGAUACAGAUAGACGUUUUUUUUGAGAGCUCUGGAAUUUCUCCUUGGUUUUUGUUAUUGGAUAGCCUUAGCAUUUGCCUUGGACAUUUUCUUGUUGGAUUAUCUUGACCCCUGUUUAGGGGUUUUAGUGUCAAGACUUGUUUAUUCAGUCUCAGUUCUAUAUUGAGAGUACAACUGUAGGUCUACAGUCUACAGGACUGAGGUCUUUCUCUCAGUUGGUCGUCUGGUGUGCACGUGGAUUUGUACAUGAGUCUGAGGUUCAAGAUUCCAGACUGCGGGUUGCAGUGGUCAGACCUGAUGGUGUAGUGUCAACUAUGAACUUCUACUUUUUGGAAUUGUCAUCAGUGGACAGUACCUGAUCUAGAGGCUAGAUCUACAUAUAUUACCAGUUGUUGUUUUUGAGAUUGAAGGACUAUGUGAUCCAUUGAACUACUUAUUAUAUUUAAGGUAAUAUACUAUGUGUUUCAUAAUUAUAUGAAUGAUUUUUAUCUAAGGAGACUAACUGGAUCAUUGUAGAUUACAUAUUAUUACAUAUUGAUAUUUCAUACUAUUAUUAUCAGUCAUCAUGAAUCAGUCAUUUGUAAAUAUAUCACAAGAAUAAAUUUUAUUGUUAUUUACAUCA